rnacentral:rRNA from 1 species
GCGCAUGAGCUGUCGCUGACCCUCAAAGGUGUCGUGCACGCCCAAGCGCUCUCGCACAAUCCAUCUCACCCCUCUUGUGCACCACCGCGUGGGUCCCCCCUUUCGGGAGGGCUUGCGUUUUCACAUAAAACUUGAUACGGUGUAGAAUGUCUUUUUUCAUUUGCGGUCACACGCAAUCAAUACAACUUUCAACAACGGAUCUCUUGGCUCUCGCAUCGAUGAAGAACGCAGCGAAAUGCGAUACGUAAUGUGAAUUGCAGAAUUCAGUGAAUCAUCGAAUCUUUGAACGCACCUUGCGCCCCUUGGCAUUCCGAGGGGCACACCCGUUUGAGUGUCGUGAAAUUCUCAAAACCUUUUUUUUCCCUUGAUCCAUUUUGGUCAGGGAAGAGAGGAUUUUUGGACUUGGAGGUUUUGCUGCUCGCCUUUGCUUUGAAAGCGAGCUCCUCUCAAAUGAAUCAGUGGGGUCCGCUUUGCCGAUCCUUGACGUGAUAAGAUGUUUCUACGUUUUGGACUUGGCAUCGUCCCUUGGACGCCUGCUUCCAACUGUCCACAUCAUGGACGACGAUGGUGCUUUGGUCACCGCCAUCCACAUUGGCGGAAGGCUGGGCCCACAAAACCCUUGACCUCAAAUCGGGUGAGACUACCCGCUGAACUUAAGCAU